rnacentral:tRNA from 1 species
UCGUUGUCUCGUGCCCGCUUCGAGAGGACCCCGUUAUUCUGCCGAAGGAAACGCAGCAGCCUCUCAAGGGUCCGCUC